rnacentral:piRNA from 1 species
UGGGAGCUUAGGCCAUAGUCUUGGAA